rnacentral:rRNA from 1 species
AGCGAACGCUGGCGGCAGGCCUAACACAUGCAAGUCGAACGGAUCCUUCGGGAUUAGUGGCGGACGGGUGAGUAACACGUGGGAACGUGCCCUUUGGUUCGGAACAACUCAGGGAAACUUGAGCUAAUACCGGAUGUGCCCUUCGGGGGAAAGAUUUAUCGCCAUUGGAGCGGCCCGCGUCUGAUUAGCUAAUUGGUGAGGUAACGGCCCACCAAGGCGACGAUCAGUAGCUGGUCUGAGAGGAUGAUCAGCCACACUGGGACUGAGACACGGCCCAGACUCCUACGGGAGGCAGCAGUGGGGAAUCUUGCGCAAUGGGCGAAAGCCUGACGCAGCCAUGCCGCGUGAAUGAUGAAGGUCUUAGGAUUGUAAAAUUCUUUCAGCGGGGACGAUAAUGACGGUACCCGCAGAAGAAGCUCCGGCUAACUUCGUG